rnacentral:snRNA from 1 species
GUGUUCACUUCAGCAGCAUAAAGGUACUAAAAAUGGAAUGUUACAGAGAAGAUUAGCAUAGACCCUGCACAAAGAUGACAUGAAAAUUCAUGAAGCGUUCCAAUUUUUU